UACGUAGGGUCCGAGCGUUGUCCGGAAUUACUGGGCGUAAAGAGCUCGUAGGUGGUUUGUCGCGUUGUUCGUGAAAACUCACAGCUUAACUGUGGGCGUGCGGGCGAUACGGGCAGACUGGAGUACUGCAGGGGAGACUGGAAUUCCUGGUGUAGCGGUGGAAUGCGCAGAUAUCAGGAGGGACACCGAUGGCGAAGGCAGGUCUCUGGGCCGAAUUACUGACACUGGAGAAGCGAA
rnacentral:rRNA from 1 species